UCGUACAGUUUUGCCUUAAUUACAGCUCUGAGUGAGUUGUUCUUCCAGCAAAUGGCAUAAUAUUAUCAUUUUUUUGAGUCUUU